UACAGAGGCCCCAAGCGUUACUGAGAAUCACUGGGUUUAAAGGGUGCGUAGGUGGUCCGUUAAGUUCGUUGUGAAAGCCCUGGGCUCAACCCAGGAACUGCUUCGAAUACUGGCGGACUUGAGGCGAGUAUGGGUCACUGGAACUGACGGUGGAGCGGUGAAAUGCGUAGAUAUCGUCAGGAACGCCAAUGGUGAAGACAGGUGACUGGGCUCGAUCUGACACUGAGGCACGAAAGCGUGGGGAGCAAACAGG
rnacentral:rRNA from 1 species